rnacentral:lncRNA from 1 species
UGGCUUCGUUUUUAGAAUUUUGUGGAUUAACCAGCAUGCCCUAGCAUCAAAACCAGAACUGCCAUGCCCAUUCCACAAACAGACACUAGUACAGGUACCACGAGGGGCUAUCCUACUUUAGGAACAGUAAAGGACGAUCCCUUGUUCUGCACUGCAGAAAGAUCACAAAAACAAAUAACAAGUAACAGGUCUAACAUAGUCGCCACCAACGCGACCUGCAGGCAGGUCCAACGACCCCCACAGCAAAGACGGUCAAAUCUCGGGUGGCUUUCCCAGUGAACAGUUGCAUCUCUCCCGGCCGCAAACAGUAUCAUCCUUCAGUGUCUUCCCCUUCGUCAACCUCCUCGCAGUAACCUUCUCACCAGUAACCCAAACCCAGAACCGAGAUUUCGAGCAAUAGAGCCGUCAGAUCUCAGUCCCGGAGUGCUUCCCAAAACCACCAGAGGUUUCAACCACCUUAACGGCUUCAGUACUCGGGUUGGCGGUCGUUCCUCCAG